rnacentral:rRNA from 1 species
UACGAAGGGGGCUAGCGUUGUUCGGAAUUACUGGGCGUAAAGCGCGUGUAGGCGGGUCUUUAAGUCAGGGGUGAAAUGCCAAGGCUCAACCUUGGAACUGCCUUUGAUACUGGAGAUCUUGAGUCCGGGAGAGGUGAGUGGAAUUGCGAGUGUAGAGGUGAAAUUCGUAGAUAUUCGGAAGAACACCAGUGGCGAAGGCGACUGACUGGACAAGUAUUGACGCUGAGGUGCGAAAGCGUGGGGAGCAAACAGG